rnacentral:rRNA from 1 species
CGGGUUGAAGCAUGACCGUAAGGACAUGUGGACAGUAUGGGAGUGAGAAUGUUGGCAUGAGUAGCGAGAUGUGGGUGAGAAUCCCACAGGCCGUAAACCCAAGGUUUCCAGGGGAAGGUUCGUCCGCCCUGGGUUAGUCGGGACCUAAGCUGAGGCCGAAAGGCGUAGGUGAUGGACAACAGGUUGAUAUUCCUGUACUACCGAUAACCGUUUGAGAGA